GGGAAACCUGAUCCAUUAAUGCCGCGUGAGUGAAGAAGGCCUUCGGGUUGUAAAGCUCUUUUGUCAGGAAAGAAACAGCAGCUCUAAUACAGUUUGCGAAUGACGGUACCUGAAGAAUAAGCACCGGCUAACUACGUGCCAGCAGCCGCGGUAAUACGUAGGGUGCAAGCGUUAAUCGGAAUUACUGGGCGUAAAGCGUGCGCAGGCGGUUAUGUAAGACAGGCGUGAAAUCCCCGGGCUUAACCUGGGAAUUGCGCUUGUGACUGCAUAGCUAGAGUGUGUCAGAGGGGGGUAGAAUUCCACGUGUAGCAGUGAAAUGCGUAGAUAUGUGGAGGAAUACCAAUGGCGAAGGCAGCCCCCUGGGAUAACACUGACGCUCAUGCACGAAAGCGUGGGGAGCAAACAGGAUUAGAUACCCUGGUAGUCCACGCCCUAAACGAUGCUGACUAGUUGUUCGGGAAUUUAUUCCUGAGUAACGUAGCUAACGCGUGAAGUCAGCCGCCUGGGGAGUACGGUCGCAAGAUUAAAACUCAAAGGAAUUGACGGGGACCCGCACAAGCGGUGGAUGAUGUGGAUUAAUUCGAUGCAACGCGAAAAACCUUANCUAACCUUGACAUGCCACUAACGAAGUAGAGAUACAUUAGGUGCCCGUAAGGGAAAG
rnacentral:rRNA from 1 species